UGUUACUCGCGCUUCGGCAGGGCGCUUUGUCAAGAGUCGCGCGUGAUUACGGACUGACCGAUCGUACGGAUUCAAAGUGAUCACUUCGUUUGAACUUUUCAUUCUCUCGUUUUCCUUUGAGAGAGGACAUGUGUAUUCGUUUCGUAAAUUGAAUUGUUUCGUACCGUACAGCUUUUCCGGCGUGGAUCGAGAAACGCGUAUUCCGCGUAUGUGCGAAAGCGAACAUCAAGAGAAUUGGUAAAUGCAUGUACGGCACUUUAGCGGGUUUCAACGCUAACGCUUUUCUACUUGUUUAUAUAGCCGUCCAAAGAGACAAACGCAAUACAGUGAAAUCCAUUAUUUCAUUGAAAAUCGAAUCAAUCCAAUAGCAAUCAAGGUAAAGGUGAAGCAACGUGAAUCCUCUUCCUCUUUCUCGUUAUCUUCGAUUUUUCGAAUUGAUUUUUGGCGCCUUCUUUUUAUGGUUACCGAGUUAAGUGAUAUAUGAAUUGAGAAAUAUACGUGACCGAUGAGAAACAAUCGACCAUAGAAAAAGAAUUACAGUGAUAUUACGAAGAAACGAAUAUGCAGAAUAUUUCUUGUGAUAAAGAACUAAAUUUAUUUCGUUUAGUAUAGUGAGUGUGUAUUAUUCGAAACAUUCGAAAAUGCCCCGGAAAAAAUUGACGAUCUUCGCAGGUUAGGUGUCCGUUGAUCUUAAAACGCGCGCGCCAAAAUUUUAUUGGGAAUUCUCUUGUUCUUAUUCGAAGGAAAAAUUCUACUUUCAUAGGGAAAAUAAUUCAUUGCUAUUACGUUUUCGUAACUUCAAAUUGCAUACAAAUUUGCAUAUGUAUGCAUGUGGGUGUAUGUAUAUACAUAUAUAUAUAUAUGCAUAUAUAUACAUAUAUAUACAUAUAUAUAUAUACGCCGUAGAUAUAUGAUUCAGACGUUGAAAUAAGAAAAAAAUAAAAAAAAAAUGUAUUUUCGUUAUUGACAAGAAGAGUGGGAAACAGAGCACGUGGUUUUCGCGUGGCUCGUGAAAAAAAAAGGUGGGAUAAUAGAUUUUUCUAAGAAAAUGCGACUUUCAAAGUUCAAGCUUUAUUUUUGAACGUUCGAGAAAACGAGAGAGAGAAAGAGAGAGAGAGAGAGAGAGAGAGCGAGAGCGAGAGCGAGAGCGAAAAGAAGAAGAAAAAGAAGAAAAGAAGAAAAUCGUGUUCGCUGUUUUCAAAGCAAACAUUUGCUUACAAACAAGUGAAAAUAUUUUUCGUUUAUUUCGACAAUACAAAAGUCGAAUUGAGUAAUACGCAUUGGUCGUAUGACUGGCCUGACUUUUGGUUGUUCUUAGAAAAUCGCGACGCCAUAUUGAAAUUUGAUAGCAAGUCACGCGAGUGUUUUUCUUGGCGCGAGAAUUGACUUCUAGAUAAAAGUUUUUUUCUUCUCUUAUCGCAUUUCAUCUCUUUUUUUUUUUUUUUUGCUUCUGUAUUCUUUUCAUCUAUCAUUGACAACAAAAGACGUCGAAGAAUUUUCGAGAAAAAAAAAAAACAAAUAAAACACAAAGAUCGAACGAGGUUUUUCAUAUUGCUUUCAAGGAUAUUUGGUGAAAAAAGAAGAAGAAGAAGAGGAAGAAGAAGAAGAAGAAGAAGAAGAAGAAAGAAUAUUGUAUAUCGAGAAUAAGCUAGAAAAAGAUAAGAAAAGAGAAAAAAAGGAUGGCGAAUCGUAAAGAGAAACAGCAAGAAUGAUGAAAGGAUGCAACCGAUGUAUCGAAAAAGAAUGAAAGUUAUACCUGGAAAUGUGACACAGUAUAUUAUUAAGAACUCGAGCUUGACAGAGCUUAUGUUUUACGGGAUGAACAUUUUUCACUUUUUACUGAACGACAUCUAAAAUAUCAAACGAGAUGCCACUUUCGAAUUCAAAACUCAGGCGGCCUAUUAUCGUGGACCAGAAAUAAUAAAUGAUCUAUCUCAUUUUCUUUCUCUUUAUCAUUCUCAAAGAACUUAUUCUCGUAUUUUUUUUAUCUCCCUCUCUUUCUCUUUUUCUAUUUUCAGUCGUUUUCGAAUUUUUACAAAAAAAAAAAAUAUAUAUAUAUAUAUAUGCAUAUAACUAUUUUUCACUUUGUUAAGCUAACACGUAGUCGCACAUUAUUACAAAAGUCAAAGUCAUUUUAAAGUUUCGAGAAACGUUAUUACCUAUUGCAUUCAAGGAAUAAAACGUGAUAUAUUUUACGAACUUAUCUUAAAUAGAUUCUCUAAAAGUAAUACUUUUUCUCGCAAUGUAAUCAGUGGACAAGCAGGUUUAAAAUGUUCGCCACAAUCGUAUAUAUAUAUAUAU